UCAACUGUAUUUACCAGUGCUAAUUUGACAUUUCUUAUUCAUUCACUUGCCCUUUUUUUGCAAUAGGCACUUGAUGAUAAUGUCAAGUUAAAGCUCUCUCAGUUUUGCCAUGUUUCGGCCGAAAAUAUUGUCACUCUCUAUGACGUUCCAAAUAUUUGGCACAUUCCUUUACUACUAAGAGAUCAAAAGACACAUGAAGCAAUCUUGAAAGG